CUCAUUUGAAUAGCAAGGGUAAUGGUGGACCGCACUUCUCCCUUAGAAAGACGUUGUGACCUGUCAAUAAAUAUUCUAAGUAUUUGGCUAUUAUGUCUGUUCUAAGUUAUACCGUUAAGGUAUUUUCUUUAAAACAGUUUUAGCCGUUUUAUAUACUGGAUAAAAUUGACAGUAACGAAUUAUGGUGUUGAGCCACAUGAAAUUAUAUAUAUGUAAAAAUAUAUAUAAUGGAAAGUGUCCUAAAAUAUGGCUGUUUGCAAGUGGGUUGGUAAAAAAUAGUUUCAAUUCGGAUUUUUAACCGGUUAACUAUUCCGCCUACUGUUGGUAAACUGUUCCUAGGACUGUGCUUAUUAUCACCGGUCGGCAGCGAUUCAGGUUCAGGCUCUUAUCCGACCCGUCUUGAAACACGGACCAAGGAGUUUAGCGUGUACGCAAGUCAUUGGGCCUAUAAACCCAUAGGCAAAAUGAAAGUAAAGAGUUGGAGUUUUGUAAAUUUUUACAUUCUCUACUUUAGGGAAGAUGGAAAAUAUUGUGCAGCAAUGUAUAAGAUUUUCCCGCAUUCCCAGGGCGCUUGAUUCUUGCUUUGCAAGUCAAUGCGCACCUAUAGCGUACACGCUGAUACCCGAAAGAUGGUGAACUAUGCCUGGCCAGGACGAAGCCAGGGGAAACCCUGGUGGAGGUCCGCAGCGAUUCUGACGUGCAAAUCGAUCGUCGGAGCUGGGUAUAGGGGCGAAAGAUCAAUCGAACCAUCUAGUAGCUGGUUCCCUCUGAAGUUUCCCUCAGGAUAGCUUGCACUCGGUUGAGACGAGUCUCAUCCGGUAGAGCGAAUGAUUAGAGGCAUUGGGGUCGAAACGACCUCAACCUAUUCUCAAACUCCAAAUAGAUGAGAUCCCCGGCUUUCUUAAAAGUGAAGCCGUGGGAAUAGGAUCAGAGUGCCAAGUGGGCCAAUUUUGGUAAGCAGAACUGGCGCUGUGGGAUGAACCAAACGCAGAGUUAAGGCGCCUAAAUUGACGCUCAUGUGAAACCAUGAAAGGCGUUGGUUGCUUAAGACAGCAGGACGGUGGCCAUGGAAGUUGGAAUCCGCUAAGGAGUGUGUAACAACUCACCUGCCGAAGCAACUAGCCCUGAAAAUGGAUGGCGCUGUAGCGUCGUGCCUAUACUCUGCCGUCAAUGACAAAGAUGAUUAAUAAGCUGUGUGUUAAUUAAUGUUGUAGUCUUGACUGCAGUAUUGUUAAUUACAAAGUUUAUUACUAUAUCAUCAUUAUGUCUUGAUGAGUAAGAGGGCCGCGGCGAUGAGCGCAGAAGGGUCUGGGCGAGAGCCCGCCUGGAGCCG
rnacentral:ncRNA from 1 species